GAUGAACGCUGGCGGCGUGCCUAAUACAUGCAAGUCGAGCGAACAGACGAGGAGCUUGCUCCUUUGACGUUAGCGGCGGACGGGUGAGUAACACGUAGGUAACCUACCUAUAAGACUGGGAUAACUUCGGGAAACCGGAGCUAAUACCGGAUAAUAUUUCGAACCGCAUGGUUCGAUAGUGAAAGAUGGCUUUGCUAUCACUUAUAGAUGGAUCUGCGCCGUAUUAGCUAGUUGGUAAGGUAACGGCUUACCAAGGCAACGAUACGUAGCCGACCUGAGAGGGUGAUCGGCCACACUGGAACUGAGACACGGUCCAGACUCCUACGGGAGGCAGCAGUAGGGAAUCUUCCGCAAUGGGCGAAAGCCUGACGGAGCAACGCCGCGUGAGUGAUGAAGGUCUUCGGACCGUAAAACUCUGUUAUUAGGGAAGAACAAACGUGUAAGUAACUGUGCACGUCUUGACGGUACCUAAUCAGAAAGCCACGGCUAACUACGUG
rnacentral:rRNA from 1 species